rnacentral:rRNA from 1 species
AUACGGAGGAUCCGAGCGUUAUCCGGAUUUAUUGGGUUUAAAGGGUGCGUAGGCGGACUGGUAAGUCAGUGGUGAAAUCCUGCAGCUUAACUGUAGAAUUGCCGUUGAUACUGUUAGUCUUGAGUACAUUUGAGGUAGGCGGAAUGUGGUGUGUAGCGGUGAAAUGCAUAGAUAUACCACAGAACACCGAUUGCGAAGGCAGCUUACUAAACUGUAACUGACGCUGAGGCACGAAAGCGUGGGUAUCAAACAGGAUUAGAUACCCUGGUAGUCCACGCUGUAAACGAUGAUUACUGGUUGUUUGCGAUACACUGCAAGUGACUGAGCGAAAGCAUUAAGUAAUCCACCUGGGGAGUACGUCGGCAACGAUGAA